GUGUUUUUUCUGCAGAUUAAACCCAAUUUUACCACGUUGUGCUGCUUCUUUCAUGUUUUUGUAAUCUUCUCAGAAAGAUGCUUGAGAUCCUGAGAGUCUGUUCUUGACCAAGUA